GGCUCGUUCGUCUAGGGGUAUGAUUCUCGCUUUGGGUGCGAGAGGUCCCAGGUUCAAAUCCCGGACGAGCCC
rnacentral:tRNA from 1 species